AUCCACCCAAGAUCCAGAUCCAGAUCCCUCCACCCCCGGCCUCCCUUCCAUCCCCUCUUUCUCUCCCCCGCGACUCCUCUCGCCGCCGCCGUCUCCGGCUCCGGCCGCGAUUCCGGCGAGUUCCGGCGGCACGCAGCACACCGCCGAGACCCCCUCGCUCCGGCGCUUCCUCCCAUCCGGCAGAUUCGCUAGCUCGAUCGCAACCCCAGCCCCGUGGCUAGGGUUGGGUUGCGGGCGGGGCCUACUUCCUCGCCGGCCGGCUCGAGUUGGCCAUAUCCACGGCGCCGUCCUCCUCCACGACCUCAAGCCCUCAGGAUACGUAGGCGCUCGCAGCCAUGGAAUGGAUGGAUCCAUGGGACUAGUCCGACGCCAUGGAAGGGCAUGAAGGGCCACCAACAGCAGCUCCCUCCGGUCUUCUCCCACCAUGGAAGGCAUCCAUGGAAGCCGCCGCCGCUGCUCCGACCCCGCUGCCAACGCCCCAUGGAGACUCUGCUCUGUCUCGUGUCCUGCGUGUCCUGGCCAUCAAACCAAUUACCCUGAGCUACCGAAACGCCAGAACUGCUCUCUUUGAUGGCAUUAAAGAAGGUGGAAUACGAGUACCAGCUUAUUCUUCACAUGAGAAUGAGUGAGCUAUGGAUGGAUUCCAAGAUCGAGUCAACAUUCUCAAGAGGGGGUGAUCGACGCUACCUAGCGCAGCCCGGUGGGCGCUGUGCUCUUCAACCCGGUGAAGCUCGGCGGCCACGUCGCACAGACGAUCGUCCAGUUGAUCGUGACGCCGAAGGUCGCCGAGGUGGAGGACCUCGACGCCACCGUCCGGGGGAGGGAGGAUUCGGGUCCACCGGCGCCUGAACUCCGAGCCUUGGUAGAUACAUCUAGAGAAGUGGUUUGUUUAGGUUGGUGGUGAACACUAGGGAAGGCACCCACGUUUCGAUGAUGGUUGUGUGUCUUGAGAAUGUUCUGUGACGUUGGUUUGGUUUCCACUGGACGUAUUGCCAUCCAUGAAUACUACAUCUAAUUU